rnacentral:rRNA from 1 species
UACGGGGGGAGCAAGCGUUGUUCGGAUUUACUGGGCGUAAAGCGCGCGUAGGCGGCUUUUCAAGUCGGAUGUGAAAUCCCCGGGCUUAACCUGGGAACUGCAUUCGAGACUGUCUAGCUAGAGUAUGGGAGAGGGAAGUGGAAUUUCAGGUGUAGCGGUGAAAUGCGUAGAUAUCUGAAGGAACAUCAGUGGCGAAAGCGGCAUACUGGACCACUACUGACGCUGAUGCGCGAAAGCCAGGGGAGCAAACGGG